rnacentral:tRNA from 6 species
GCUACCAUGGCUCAGUCGGUAGAGCGUCUCACUCGUAAUGAGAAGGUCGCCGGUUCGAUUCCGGCUGGUAGCU